GACGAACGCUGGCGGCGUGCCUAACACAUGCAAGUCGAACGGAAAGGCCCUGCUUUUGUGGGGUGCUCGAGUGGCGAACGGGUGAGUAACACGUGAGUAACCUGCCCUUGACUUUGGGAUAACUUCAGGCAACUGGGGCUAAUACCGGAUAGGAGCUCCUGCUGCAUGGUGGGGGUUGGAACGUUUCCGCGGUUGGGGAUGGACUCGCGGCUAAUGAGCUUGUUGGUGGGGUAGUGGCUUACCAAGGCUUUGACGGGUAGCCUGCCUGAGAGGGUGACCGGCCACAUGAGGACUGAGGUACGGCGCAGACUCCUACGGGAGGCAGCAGUGGGGAAUAUGACACAAUGGGCGGAAGCGUGAGGCAACAGCGCCGCGUGCGGAAAGACGGCCUACGGGGUGUAAACCGCAUUCGCCUGAGACGAAGCGGGAGUGACGGUAAUGGGUAAAGAAGCACCGGCUAACUACGUG
rnacentral:rRNA from 1 species